rnacentral:snRNA from 1 species
AAGAGAUAAUGCAUGUAUGUU